rnacentral:rRNA from 2 species
UUGAGUUUGAUCCUGGCUCAGAGCGAACGCUGGCGGCAGGCUUAACACAUGCAAGUCGAACGGGCGUAGCAAUACGUCAGUGGCAGACGGGUGAGUAACGCGUGGGAACGUACCUUUUGGUUCGGAACAACCCAGGGAAACUUGGGCUAAUACCGGAUAAGCCCUUACGGGGAAAGAUUUAUCGCCGAAAGAUCGGCCCGCGUCUGAUUAGCUAGUUGGUGAGGUAAUGGCUCACCAAGGCGACGAUCAGUAGCUGGUCUGAGAGGAUGAUCAGCCACAUUGGGACUGAGACACGGCCCAAACUCCUACGGGAGGCAGCAGUGGGGAAUAUUGGACAAUGGGCGCAAGCCUGAUCCAGCCAUGCCGCGUGAGUGAUGAAGGCCCUAGGGUUGUAAAGCUCUUUUGUGCGGGAAGAUAAUGACGGUACCGCAAGAAUAAGCCCCAGCUAACUUCGUGCCAGCAGCCGCGGUAAUACGAAGGGGGCUAGCGUUGCUCGGAAUCACUGGGCGUAAAGGGUGCGUAGGCGGAUCUUUAAGUCAGAGGUGAAAGCCUGGAGCUCAACUCCAGAACUGCCUUUGAUACUGAGGAUCUCGAGUUCGGGAGAGGUGAGUGGAACUGCGAGUGUAGAGGUGAAAUUCGUAGAUAUUCGCAAGAACACCA